rnacentral:lncRNA from 1 species
GGCGAUCUAGUGAAGAAGGAAUAAGUGAGUAUCCAUUUUCCCCAUGAUAACUUGCUCAAGCUCAACCUCUUUUCAUAAUUUUUUUUGUAAUUCCAUAUCUAUUCUUUGUUUAAACUUUAUUUGAUAGGAUUAUUAUAUCAAGGGUUGAAGAAGAUGCAUGUUUGGAUACCAAUUUGUUUCACAAUUGAUAUGAUUCUCAAAGACUCAAAUUAACUUUAUUAAUCAUUGUGUCUAAACUAAGGAUUCACAUCAUUAUUGGUCACUAUUAUCACUUUUUAUAUAUAACUUUUUCUAAUAUAUGAGAUCUAUUUUCUACUCAUCAAAUAAACAGCCAACUUUUAUUAAAACUCGUGUUGCCUCCCAUUCGAAAGAUGUUUUAGGCUAGAGAGUGUAUGGUAUUAAUAUUAUGUUUGAUUAAAUGUAUUACAUAAUCUAUUUUAUAAAUCUAUAUAAUAUAAAAAAUGGAGUUUUUUCUGCCGCUUUUUCUUUCUUCUCUCCCAUCAAUUUUUUUAGGGAUAUUUGCGGUAAAAUACACGAUCUUUCAGCAAAUUCUGAUUUUUCCCAUAAUCUUUAAAAUAUGAAAAGAAAUACUCAACCUUUCGAUUUUUUCUGAAUUUUCCUAUUGGUAUAAAAUACUCCCAAAUUGAAGCUGAGUUUUUAGGGCUUUCACUUAGAUUUGUUGACACCUAAGCUGAUGCAUCGACUUUAUUAUGCCACAUUUAUUAUCCGUCAUGCUUAGGUAUCAAAAAAUCUAAGUCAAAAAAGCCCUUAGAAAAAAUUGAAAGGUGGUACUUGUAUUCCAUUUUGGGCAGUCCCACUUGAAGUGGCCUAUUUCCGUAAAUGGAAAAAUUUAACCCUUAAAAAGGUAUAGGCACUACCACUUUUAACCAAUUUAUACCUCCUUAAUUCUUGCUAAGAGAAUGAGUUUUUGUUGGAUUUGAAGUAUUGCAUGAUCAAGGUUUCCACAAUAAUCCCAUGAUCAAGGAUACUGCAAAAGCUUGUGUCAGCAAUGAAGUCAAGAAUGCUGUUGUGGAAUCUUCAGAAAUGGCUUCAAAAUAUUUGCUAAUAAACUGGGAUUUUGUUGGGGAGAUGUCUAAAAUCAUAUACAAAUAGAAACGAUGAAAAUCUAAAGUAUCUUUUUCUGGGAAAAGAGGUAAUAUGAAGUUUAGUUUAAUCCCUUAGUUCUUGGCUGAUUUGUUGUCUAAUUUUCAGGUGGAUUUAGAGGGGCAUUUUGAGUAUCUGUCAAGCUCUUAUUGAGCCAUUUUGAGCUUUGUUAUAGAUUUUCUAAUAGAAUCAAAUAAAUUUCAAGAUGACAUGAGGAUAUAUGAGAUCCAUUAAUAUAAUUUCUGUAGAACUAAAUGUCAAUCUCUCAGGCAUGUGUCUAUUGUUCUGUUUUUAUGAUUUUUUCUUCAAAAAGCUAUUAAUUUUAUUUCAUUGUAUCCAACACUCCAGACUCCAGACUCCAGCCUUAUUGCAGUUUGUUUAUUGUUAGUUACAUCCCAUCAAACUUGAACUAUCUGUUAUUGUUUUAACUCCAAACAUUACUGCCCUUGAUUGCAGUGAGUAUGAUUCUAAAGCCAUGGCAGAGAUAGGGGAGCUUCUGAGGAGCAUGGAGGCGAGGCGGCCUCAAUUAGUGGCGCUAACGAGCUUGCUCGUGGGGAAGAACGACGACAGUUUAGUUGUUGAGUCUGAAGAGAAGGAUGAUGACAAAAAUUAAGACAGCAAUAUUGAAGAUGGAAGUUCAUGUGGAAGCUGAACCCAAUCCCAGCAACAAGGGAAAUGGAAAAAGGCACACCAAUGAAAGAAUGUUGAGCAUAUUGUAUAACAUUAAAACAAAGUUUGAAUUUGCAUCACCAUUAGAAUCUUGCAAGUAAGUUCUAACUUGCAGGACAGAAUAUUUGGUUUUAAUUUAUCAAUUGCGUGCUUUUAUAAACAGACGAAAGUAGUAAUAAGACUUUCAGUUUGCAUGGACGAAGGUAGUAAUAAAACUACAAUUUGAAUUU